AGUAAGGUGGCAUAGUGGUUUGAGUGUUAGACUAGAAUUCUGGAGGCCAGGGUUCAAAUCCUGUCUCUGCCA